UACGGAGGGUGCAAGCGUUAUCCGGAUUCACUGGGUUUAAAGGGUGCGUAGGAGGGCAGGUAAGUCAGUGGUGAAAUCUUCGAGCUUAACUCGGAAACUGCCGUUGAUACUAUCUGUCUUGAAUACCGUGGAGGUGAGCGGAAUAUGUCAUGUAGCGGUGAAAUGCUUAGAUAUGACAUAGAACACUAAUUGCGAAGGCAGCUCGCUACACGAAUAUUGACUCUGAGGCACGAAAGCGUGGGGAUCAAACAGG
rnacentral:rRNA from 1 species